rnacentral:rRNA from 1 species
AUUGAACGCUGGCGGCAGGCUUAACACAUGCAAGUCGAGCGGGGUGAUGGUGCUUGCACUAUCACUUAGCGGCGGACGGGUGAGUAAUGCUUAGGAAUCUGCCUAUUAGUGGGGGACAACAUCUCGAAAGGGAUGCUGAUACCGCAUACGUCCUACGGGAGAAAGCAGGGGAUCACUUGUGACCUUGCGCUAAUAGAUGAGCCUAAGUCGGAUUAGCUAGUUGGUGGGUAAAGGCCUACCAAGGCGACGAUCUGUAGCGGGUCUGAGAGGAUGAUCCGCCACACUGGGACUGAGACACGGCCCAGACUCCUACGGGAGGCAGCAGUGGGGAAUAUUGGACAAUGGGGGGAACCCUGAUCCAGCCAUGCCGCGUGUGUGAAGAAGGCCUUAUGGUUGUAAAGCACUUUAAGCGAGGAGGAGGCUCUUUUGGUUAAUACCCAAGAUGAGUGGACGUUACUCGCAGAAUAAGCACCGGCUAACUCUGUGCCAGCCGCCCCGUAA